UACGGGGGGGGCAAGCGUUGUUCGGAAUUACUGGGCGUAAAGGGCUCGUAGGCGGCCAACUAAGUCAUACGUGAAAUCCCUCGGCUUAACCGGGGAACUGCGUCUGAUACUGGAUGGCUUGAGUUCGGGAGAGGGAUGCGGAAUUCCAGGUGUAGAGGUGAAAUUCGUAGAUAUUCGCAAGAACACCAGUGGCGAAGGCGGCUCACUGGCCCGGUACUGACGCUGAGGUGCGAAAGCGUGGGGAGCGAACAGG
rnacentral:rRNA from 1 species